GGUGGCGAGCGGUAAGGGCCACAGGGUAAAUCCAGAGUGGCUCCUUCACCGGGGCUGGGAGGGUUAGGCAUGAACAGUUCUGAAAGCUUCAUACUCCCUGGAUGCCUUUCAAAAAAGAUGUGUUUAGGAAGCUGAACUGUUGGCGCCUUUUUGAAAUGAAGGAUCCAUUUCACGGAGCUUCAGAGAAUGUCCAGCCGCCAGCAGGACAUCCUCCCCUGGGUGUGAUGCAAAGUGAGAGGCGAGGUCACCCGUAAACAGUCCCCGCCGCACAGCCAGCGCUGUUUGAAACCCUCCGUCAUUCUAAACAGAAACAGAUGUUUGUGCCGCAGAGCUGUGCAGAAGUCGUUCUUCAAACAGUAGAUUAAAACAUCUGUCAGGAUAGCCUGGAGGGCCAGACCCACAGCGGCCACCCCAGCUGGGCCUGCCAAUCAUGGCCUUUCCAGGGGGAUAGGGGGUGGACAGAGGGACUGGAGGAAGCAGGGAGGUCCUGUCCUCUGCUAGUUCCUCUUGACCUCACUGCCAGGAUUCCGACGUCCCGCUGGCCUGUCCCCUCUCCUGCUGGCCUGUCCCCUGGCCUGCUCGUCCAUCUCCUGUCCUGCUGGCCCAUCCCCUGAACUGCUCGUCUGUCCCCUGGCCUGCUGGCCUUCUUGGAAGUGUUUUUUGUCCCCUCAGUGCCACUUGUUGCUGAGAUAGGGCAGCUGCUACUCCUGGCUGGUCUCUGUGUCCCUGGCAGGUGCAAGGACCCAGGGCCUUUCUUCUCCAGGCCAGCUGACCUCCUGGCAUCUCCAGAGGCUGCUAGCUGCACUUCACAUGUUGCCUUAUUAUCACUGAUAUCUUAGGACCACAUGAAGGGGGCAGUGAUGUCUGCUGUGGCCUGGCAUGAAGACCAAGACUUGGAGGAUUGGCAGACAGAAACCACGAGGACUUCCCAGCUGUCAGAGUCUCCAGAGAGGGAGGGAGCUUCUUCAGGACCAUGGAGCUGAGGCAGAGAGCGGAGACCUUGAUGGAGGGAGGAGCACUAGACCUGGAAACUUCCUUCGGGGAUGAGUGUUACUCCCUGGCCUGGAGCAAGAGAGCCGCCCUCUGAUGUGUUUGGAAAGGGAGGUGGCGGCACUGCUGGGGCGGAGGUGCGUGGGGUCACUGUGCUGCUGGGGACGCGGGGGCUUCUCUGGACUUGAUGGACCCUCCGCCUCCCGCGUCCUGUUAGAACUGUUCCUAGCAGCUCCAGUCUUCACACACUUGGAACAUCCCUUCCAGGGACUGCGUGCACCGGCAGGGUCACCUCUGGGCUCCAGGUGGCUGUGGGCCUUACAUGCAGGUCGACCUCUUGCCGCCCAGCAGGCUGCACAGUCCCAGCUCCCGUGUGCCUGAGCCCACAGGAUCACCCCAGCUGCCCCCGCACUGAACUCUGGACGCUGGGAGCUCAGAUGGGCAUCAACGUCACGCAUCCCCUCGGAGUCUAGGCCUCACGUUCCUGUUGCUGCUCCAGCUCUUCCAUGCCCCCAGCUCUUGCCCCCUCAGGCUGCACAUGUCUCCGGUGUGUCCCAAGGUCGGAAUCCCCAGGAGAACACAGGCCUUGCCGGCAAGGACAUCUGGGCAGUGCCUGGUCUGAGGGACCCCCGUGACUUACUGCUGCGUAACAACUGGCUAGGUGGAGGGCACAAGUCAAUGAGAGCCGGGACACAGGGCUGUGGGUGUGGGAGGAGCUGGGAAGAGCUGGGAGGACCGUGCGACCCCAGGUCCUGUCCCCGUGAAGGUG